ACGGUCCUAAGGUAGCGAAAUUCCUUGUCGGGUAAGUUCCGACCUGCACGAAUGGCGUAACGACUUCCCCACUGUCUCGACCAGGAGCUCGGCGAAAUUGCAGUACGAGUAAAGAUGCUCGUUAAGCGCAGAAGGACGAAAAGACCCCGGGACCUUUACUAUACCUUGGUAUUGGCGUUAGGCGCGGAUUGUGUAGCAUAGGCGGGAGGCUUCGAAGCGGGUGCGCCAGCAUUCGUGGAGCCGCAAGGUGAAAUACCGCUCUGUUCUCGUUUGACGUCUAACCUCGACAAGUCAUCCUUGUCAGGGACAGUGCCUGGCGGGUAGUUCAACUGGGGCGGUUGCCUCCCAAAGAGUAACGGAGGCGCUCAAAGGUCCGCUCGGCCCGGUUGGCAAUCGGGUGUCGAGUGUAAUCGCACAAGCGGGCUUGACUGCGAGGACGACGGUCCGAGCAGGGACGAAAGUCGGAGAUAGUGAUCCGGUGCCGGCGCACGGGCGCGGCAUCGCUCAACGGAUAAAAGGUACCCCGGGGAUAACAGGCUGAUCAUUCCCAAGAGUCCAUAUCGACGGGAUGGUUUGGCACCUCGAUGUCGGCUCGUCGCAUCCUGGGGCUGGAGCAGGUCCCAAGGGUUCGGCUGUUCGCCGAUCAAAGCGGCACGCGAGCUGGGUUCAGAACGUCGUGAGACAGUUUGGUCUCUAUCCUCUGCGCUCGUUGGAAUCUUGAGGAGGCCUGCCCAUAGUACGAGAGGACCUGGGUGGACGAACCUCUGGUAUGCCGGUUGUCGCGCCAGCGGCACGGCCGGUUGGCUACGUUCGGGAGGGAUAACCGCUGAAAGCAUCUAAGCGGGAAGCCUGCUCCAAGAUUAGGAUUCCGUACGGUCUUGAACCGUUGUAGCCCGCAUGUUGAACACGUGUUUGAUAGGCCGGAGGUGGAAGCCCCGUGAGGGGUGGAGCCGACCGGUACUAACGGGCGACGGCGACAUAAC
rnacentral:rRNA from 1 species